rnacentral:rRNA from 1 species
UUUAGCAAGUAAAAUGCAAGCAAAGAGCCCUUUAGUUUGCGACCCCGAAACUGAGCGAGCUACUCCAGGACAGCCUAUUGUAGGGCAAACCCGUCUCUGUGGCAAAAGAGUGGGAAGAUCUUCGAGUAGAGGUGACAAACCUACCGAGCACAGUAAUAGCUGGUUGCCUGGGAAUUGAAUAGAAGUUCAGCCCUUUAAGUUUUCCUAACCAUACAAGCCGUGCUCAUAUUGGUAAAGAUAUCUAAAGGAGUUAGUCAGAAAGGGUACAGCCUUCCCGACAAGAGAAACAACUUUUACAGGUGACACAAGAUCAUAAUAAUAGAGGACUUCAAAUUAAGUGGGCCUGAAAGCAGCCAUCUUAACAGAAAGCGUUAAAGCUCAAAUUAAGUCUAAUCCCCGUAUUCUGAUACAAAAUCUUCCUCCCUGCCCCCUACCAGGCUGUCUUAUGCCCCCAUAAGAGCAAUUAUGCUAAA